rfam:TPA: Bos taurus chromosome 4, whole genome shotgun sequence.
AUCAUCUGAGGAGCUUGUUAAAAUGCAGAUUCUGAUUCAGUGGGUCUGAGGUGAAGCCCAAGAGUCUGCAUUUCUAACAAGCUCCCAGGUGUAGUCAU